UCUAUUCUUACAUAUUCGAAGUCUUUGCUAAAUACUUCAACUAUUGAAACCAAGAAGUUACAAUUGGUCAAAUGAUAUGAAAGGGAUUAAUUACUAGUCUCUUUUGAAAUAGGCCUAUUUUUCUCCAAGUUUUACCAGUGAAUCGGACGGGGAUUCAAGUUUGUCAUUUCAUGAAGUAAAAAUGUGGUUCUUAUCUAUAAACCUUUCGAGGUAUUUUAU
rnacentral:lncRNA from 1 species